rnacentral:lncRNA from 1 species
UGAAUUUGGAUGUCCAAAGAAUCCUAGGAUGCCGUCUAUUAAGGAAAAAAGAAAGGAACUUGUUUUCACGUACAACCACAUUCUUGUACCAUUCCACCAACCUUGGAUUGAUCCUCCCAUACUCAAACCCUCAAUCAAACUAUAAGCAAUUUCCCCAACAGUUACACAUAUGAAAGGUAUACACCAUAAGCUAGAAAUCUGUUGAUCCAAUAGAUAAAGCACAAAAUGUUAACAACAUUAAAGAAUCAUAUAAAAGCAUAACAUGUUUAUGAUUUAUGGAUUUAAACCCCAUUAAUUAUACAUGAGCUUAUAUUUAACAGUGAGUAUAAAAUCAAACAAUAAAAGAAGACAACUUUCUAUGUUUCAACUUUUAGCUAAUUAUAAAUUUUGUGUAAUUUACAAUGUGAAUUUGUGUUUGAAAGAGGAAAAUGUUGCAAAACUUGUGAUUAUUUUGUGAGAAAAAGUGAUAUUACCUUUGGAAAGAGGGAAACACCCUUAAGGAUAUAAAGUGAAGGGAUGAUGGAGUAAUAUAAUACUGACAAGGAAGUGAUGGCAAAGAAGUUGUGGUGCCAAUAUCCCAAUAGUAGGCAUAUGUUGAUCUUUUGAUCACCAUACCAUUUAGGUCUGAACUUAGAAAGUGUAAGUUGCAUAUGACCUUCACCCCAUCUCUUUAGUUGAACUAGUGUGUGAAGUAAGCUAGUUGGAGCAACACCAGAAAAAGCACUUAUUGAUGGGUUGUAGUAUACUGAUUUCCAUCCAUGUGCAUGCAUCUGCAACCCUGUUAUCACAUCUUCCACAAGACAGCCAUAUAUUGAACCAAUCUACAACAAAAUAAAUCAUUUAUUGUACUUUAAUAAUACUCAAGUAUUAUUAUUGACUAUGAUUAUGAAUGUGACUAUGAAAGUGUAAAAGAGAUUAGUAAAUCACUUUUUUUCCCCAUAAGGUAUUUUUCUCAUAACUGCAAUUUGCUAAAGCUUUCGAUUCUUCUUCGAGUUCAUGCAAGUUUACUUCAGUCACCUCAUUCUCAUUCUGAUCAUUCCAAUCAUUUUUGUAUUCACGACUAAACUUCUUCCACCAGAGAGCAUCUCUUCUAAGAUAGCAACAAGUUCCAAUAAAAAGUGGGCCACCAAAACCAUCAAAACCAUGGAGUUCUACCUUCAAAGUGAUCAAUAAAGUGUGAAAUUAUUUUUAGAGAAAUUUAUCCGUCUUCAUCAUAAUAGCAAUGCUAUCUAUGCCUAAAGUAAGAAAAUUACUACAAAUAUAUUUUCACCAAAAUUAUGUACAUUUAAGAAAGACACAUAUUAUCUUUUAGAUAAAAAAACAAAUAGCAAUACAUAUAGAUGAAAAUACUAACCAUUUUUUUUAUUACAUCGACAAUUUAACUAACUCACCUGCACAAUAUCUGAUAUAGCAUUCGCGUAAAGAUCAUUCUUUCCAAUAUUAUGAAAACAUUGUGGAAAUUGCACGUAAGCAAUUUCUUGACCUUUAUCUUCAUCCAUGAAAAAACACAGAGCAUCUUUCACUGAUUUUGAAUGGGUGGAGUACAUGUCACAAUCCAGAAAUAGAAUGAUUUUCCCAUUACUAAUCGUUGAAGACACUCUUAACUACAUUAAGAUAAAGAAAUAUAAUGUCAUACUCAAUGUAUUUGGAUUGAGUAAUGUUUCGUGAAAGAACUGAUAACCUAUAUAGAGAUUUAUAUAAAUAAUAUAUGGUAAUUUAAUUCAACUAAAAUUUGGAAAUUUUGUUGAUGAGAUAUUAGAAGAAUGAGUCGCAAGGUUAUCAAGAGUUGUAUACGUGAUUCUCCAUACAGAUUUUGUUUUAAGAAGUGAAGGGUUGUAAUUAUGGACAGUACCAAUGCAUUUAUAGCUCCAGCUUUGAAGUUGGUGUGAUAGUGAGGUCUCUUUUCACGAGCCAUAUACACUAAGGUUGGCAAAGUACACCCAUCUACGUCCUUUGACCCUUCUGACUCCUUUUUAUGCAUCAAAAUCUGUUAACACAAUCAAACAUGCAUCAAACUUUCUGCACAUUUCAAACACAUACUUUUACAAAACAAAAAGUUUAGAAAUUUAUGUACUUGAAGGAUAGUAUCGUGAUCACGUGGAGAGGAAUACGAAUCCCAUUGGGAAAAACCAUUAUGCUUUGACCGUGCUUCACUGGGUACACCCAACUUUGUUGCUUCUUCUACUCUCCUUUUCAUUUCUUCGUAUAAUUUCUACACAUAAAAUGCAACUGAGUCUUCAAAAUACAUGUUGAACAAGUGAAAUGAAAGUGAAAAGAUGAUUAAUAUAGGUGCAUACAUGGAUGGUUGCCAAGUGUUUGACAUAGUUAUGGUCCUGUGAUUUUGUUGAGUCAACACUGUUAAAAUAUGCAGCAGGUGACCUUGGUUCCACCUUAUAUCUCUUGCAGAACGGAAUCCAAUGCUUGGCAAAGGAAGAAGCUUCUAAAAGAGCAUAAAAGGUUACAUCUGAGCCUCCAUCAUCUGAGAGAUACACGCUCAACUUCUCAGCUGCAUAGUCAUAAGCCAUCACAGAUAACACUGUAUUGAUCACCAUCAUCGGUGGCUCCACCACUGCAUCUGCCGUGAACACAAAGAUGUCCACUCCCGGGAACCUACUCUCAUAUCUGCCAAAUUGAAAUUCACACACACAUAAUCCUAAAUCAGUACUUAAGUUGGAACAUCCACGUUUCAAAUGAUCUAGAAGAUGAGUGAAGUAAAGGUGGCAAAGAUGAACCUCGAAGAGAGUCUGUUGGGGAAGGUUGUUCUGUAGACAAUGUUCCAUCGAAGGGCUUGAUAAAAAACCCAAUAGAUACCCCCCCACACUUCUGCAACAAACAAACCAAGCCAAGCCCAUUGGCCAGCUUCUCCUUUUGCAGGUAUGUGAGUGAGUCUGAAUGCCCAGACGAAGCAUAUGGCAACAAACAAAGAGACAGCAUAGAGCCUCCGAAUGUACCUUGCUUUGUCUUUCCUUGUUUCAAACAAUGACUUCUCUUCACCACUCCCCAUUGUGCCUUCUAACUCACUCCUCUCUCUUCUUGCUCUGCAUCUUCACUUCACUUUCUUAUAUAGCUACAAAAUCAAUGAUCUUCCAUGAGCUACUGAUGUCAUUUUGGAAUGGUUUUUGAGUUAAUCCUCUUUCUUAUACAGCCACAAAUUAUCUCUAAUCAUGCAUGCUACCUCGAAGACUCCAAAGCAAAAGCCAAAAGCAACUGACGAGUGCACUGACGAAACCAGACCAAUAUUUCUACAUUAACUUGGACCAAAUCAUACUUAUUUUGUUUUCGUAACCAAACUUGUUUAACUUAAUUGAUGUUUCGAAACAAACGUAUGUUUGAUUGAUUUUUAUGGUUAGUUUAGUAAUUUUAUUCAUGUGGGUCGGAUAAAAUCAGUGAUGAUGAGAAAUAAGAACAUAGAGCAGAAAAGGAGCGUAUAGAUGGAAAGUUCCUUUUGAGUAGUCACCGUCCAACCCCACAGACUCAUAAAAAUCAUUUAAUGGGUGUCACUCUCCAACCUACCCAGCAAAUAUAAGAACCACUCAAACCAUAUUAAGAUUCUGUUUCUAAAAAUACAAAAGGAUGAUGUCGAGAGUGUGAUUUUGGGAGAAUAUUUUUGCAUGCAUGCUACCAAUUAUUUAGUUUCUAAAUUUAGUCUCUAAAACCUUGGUUGCUAAUUAGAGACCAAUUUAGAAACUAUUUAACAAUAAUAGAAAAUAAUAUAAACUAAUUUAGAAACCAAUUUUUGUUUUAGUUUCCAAAAUGGUCUCUAAUUUAGUUACUAUUGCAACUAUUUAUUUUGGUCACUAAAAAUUGGUUUCUAUUUCAUGAUUUUCUUUGUAGUGGUAAGAGUUGUAGAUUUUUAUUUUUUUUUGAAUUUAUCUUUUAAAUGGAUUAAACUAUAUUAAGUACAAUAGCAAAAUGACGUAAAUGAAAAUAAAGGGUCAAAUUUCACCAGACGUGAAAUAAAGUGUUACUGAAUUAUAAAUUUAUUCUUUUAUCUUUCUAUUUAUAUUGAUUUGAUCUUUUAUUUUUGAAAUAAUUAUUUUCAUAUCAAUAUAUAUUAAGUAUUAAAAUAAAUAAAUAUUGAAUCGUUUUAGCUAACAACAAGUCUCUAGAUUAAAAUAUAAUAACAAAAUUAUAAUCACAUAAAUAUACAUUAAAAUAAUCUCACGACCAUCACACAACUCACAAAUUUCAAUAAACUUCUCUCACAAAUCUACUUUAAGAUGCUAUAAUCUUAACGCAUUCAUUUUCUUCACACUUUGCUAUCAAAUCCUCACACUUUCACUCAUCAAUCCAAACACAGCCUACGUGAAAUUGCAUUAGGCCCAGCUAAUUUGUGUUUUAAAGACUAUUUCCAUUUUAAAGUUAUGUCUCACAGUGAAAUCUCAUUUUAACUAAUUUCUAUUUUUUAUUAAUUAGAAAAUUGUUUGUCAUUCUAGUAAUAUUACAUAAAUAUUUUUUUUCUUUAUAGUUUGUAUUUUUUUUUAAAUGCUACUUCAUACAGGGUUUCUGAAAAUAUCAGUUUCUAAUGUUAAAAUUUAGUUAAAUAAAUUAGUGAAAAUUUAUAUAUUUAUAAAUAUGGUAAACAAUUCUGGAGUUAACUAAACAAAAUACACAUCACACAACUUCCUUUUCACCUUAAUUACUUGUUUUUUUUUUUUUAUCGGCAAUACCUUAAUUACUUGUAGGUUGUGUUAAUAUCGGGUAGGGAAUUUGAGGGAGUGAAUUUGGAGUGAUUUGAGAGAAAAACCAGAAGAAAGUGAUGUUCUUUAGAUUAAUGUAUGUUUGAGUGAAUUUGUGAGGAAAAAUUUAUCCGUAAGUGAUAUGAUUAUUUGAAUAUUUAUUUUCUUGCUUAAGGGAUAAUGGAUGUUAGAUAUUUGCUUUAUUAGAUAUGUUAUUUAUAACAUACAUGUAGAAAAUAUAGUAAACUAUUUCUCAUUUUGAGAAAAUAACUAUAUUUAUUGGGAUUUUUUUUUUUUACUUAAAUGUGAGUUUUUUAUUUGAAAUGUCAUGCAAACUACAUAAAUUGUUUUUACAUCUAUUUAAGUUUUAUUUCACACAUAACACUAAUAAACAUAUUACUCUAUGACAUAAUUAACAUUAUUCAUAAAUUUUGGUUAAGAAUAUGUUAUUGUAUAAACCGAAAAGGUCUUCUCCAUGUCGUUUAAAUUUUUGGGAUCUUCGACUUCAACACCUAACUUGUCUCGAUACUAGGUCUCUUCUCAGAAAAAGGAAUGGUAUCAGCAAAAGGUCAUCGGAUGCUAAAGUUAAUAAUAAAUGUCACAAAACACGUAUCUUUUGUCUUGGUCCUGACCGUGUAUUUAAAGGGUCAAAGUGGGUUUAUGUGUUGGUGAGCCCGAUUUAUCAUAACUUACCAAGUUAAUCUUAUGAUUAUGAGAGAUUUCGUACACAUGAGUUAUGUUUAAUUAGUUACCUUAGACCGUGGUUAAUCUUGGAUCAUCAGGAUAUGUUAAACUUUUGGAGGGUUCGGUCAUGGUUGGCCUUAUAGUACAUAAUCCCAAUAAAUCAACUCCUCAAAAUUUAAUCACCAAAAUAAAUUUUUGCGCUCACAAAAAUUCAAACAAACAAAGCUAGCAAGAAAUCAAAUAACUAAAAGAGUUCCGUAAUUAUACACCAAUAAUUAUACUUUUUGAAUAAUAAUUCAAGUUUGAGUCCUAAGUCUUAUGUUCAGUCCUUUUAUGUUGUUUCAUAUAUACUAUCUGGAUGAUAUAAAUAUAUAUUAGGUUUUUCUCUAGUGUAAUUAACCUCUAGCAUAACAUAGGAUGAAGGUUUAAAUUAAUAACAGAAGUAAUAAUAACGCCAUGUAUUGACAAUAUUUCUUUCCAUUUCAAAUUAAUAAUAUGACAAUAAGUACAUAUUUUUCAAUGGAAAGGCAAAAAUAUUUAGAUAAAAUAAUGAAAGCAAAAUGUCUUUGCCCAUUAGAGGGUAAAACAAAAGACUACAUCAAUAUACUCAAUUGAAUAGUUUGAAAAACAUACAUGCAGUGAAAGCCAAUGUAGUAGACUUGAUAGAAACAAAAGUUGGCAUUCGACCCUUAUCCUUCCUCACAAAAAUGGCUUGGUAUAAGGGAAUAUUGAUGACAACUAAGAAUCCACACAAAAGAACUUGUAAUGUCAUUUUCUCAGCAGCAAAGGUACCUUUGUGAAGGACCAAUUCCUUUGAAGUUAGAAGCAAGCAAAACAAAUUGAGUAAUGCAAGUGUUGCUAGAACCGUGAAAUAAGGAGAAGAUGUUCCAAACUCCAUGACUCUUUUCUUGUAACGCUGAGCAACAUCAUCAUCAAUGACCUUUGAUGUGAGUGAAAAUGAUGAAUUUGGACGUCCAAAGAACCCUAGGAUACCGUCUAUUAAGGAAAAAAGAAAGGAACUUGUUUUCACGUAUAACCAUAUUCUUGUACCAUUCCACCAACCUUGGAUUGAUCCUCCCAUACUCAAACCCUCAAUCAAGCUAUAAGCAAUUUCCCCAACAAUUACACAUGCGAAAGGUAUAAACCAUACGCUAGAAAUCUGUUGAACCAAAACAUUAAGUACAAAAUGUUAACAACAUUAAAGAAUCAUAUAAAAACAUAACAUGUUUAUGAUUUAUGCAUUUAGUUCACUCAUGAUAUUUUUCAUCUCAAUUUCUCAUUCAUAUAAUUAGUAAAUUAAAAACAAAUAUAAAAAUAUAAUUAGACGAAUAUAAGUCCUAAGUAUCAAAAUAUUUUUGAAGAAAUAUACUCAACUUUCGAUUUCAUUAAUAUACGCAAUUGGUAACAUGGCACAAAAUUCCAUUUCAAAGUAGAAAUUCAAAGUUAAAACUAACAUACCAGAAAAAUUGAUGAAAAUAAUAAUUUGAGGAAAAGUUCAUAAAUUAAAAAACAAACUAGCUUAUUAAAAUCCAAUUAAAUAAAAAUGCCUCUAAAACCCCACUAAUUAUAUAUCAGCUUAAGUGGCAAAGAUUUGGUUUAACAUUGAGUAUAAAGUCAAACAAUAAAAGAAGAAAACUUUCUACGAUUCAACUUUUACCUAAUUAUAAAUUUUGAGUAGUUUACAAUGUGAAUUUGUGUUUGAUAAGGAGUUUCAAAAAAGAAAAUGUUUCAAAAGUUGUGAUUGUUUUGUGAGAAAAAAUGAUAUUACCUUUGGAAAGAAGGAAACACCCUUAAGGAGAUAAAGUGAAGGGAUGAUGGAGUAAUAUAGUACUGACAAUGAAGUGAUGGCAAAGAAGUUGUAGUGUCCAUAUCCCAAUAGUAAGCCUAGGUUGAUCUUUUCAUCACCAUACCAUUUAGGUCUGAACUCAGAAAGUAAAAGUUGCACUUGACCUUCACCCCAUCUCUUCAUUUGAACUAGUGUGUGAAGUAAGUUCGUUGGAGCAAUGCCAGAAAAAGCACUUAUUGAUGGGUUGUAGUAUACUGAUUUCCAUCCAUGUGACUGUAUUUGCAACCCUGUUAUCACAUCCUCCACAAGACAUCCAUAUACUGAACCAAUCUACAAAAAAAUAAUCAUUUAUUGUACUUUAAUAAAUGCUCAAUAUUAUUGACUAUGAUUAUGAAUGUGACUAUGAAACUGUAAAAGAGAUUAGUAAACCACCUUUUUCCCCCAUAAGGUAUUUUUCUCAUAACUGCAAUUUGCUAAAGCCUUUGAUUCUUCUUCUAGUUCAUGCAAGUUUACUUGAGUCACCUCAUUCUCAUUCUCAUCAUUCCAAUCAUUUUUGUAUUCACGACUAAACUUCUUCCUAUAGAAAGCAUCUCUUCUAAGAUAGCAACAAGUUCCAAUAAAAAUAGGGCCACCAAAACCAUCAGCACCAUGGAGUUCUACCUUCAAAGUGAUCAAUAGAGUGUGAAAUUAUUUUUAGAUAAACAUAUCAAUAUUUAUCAUAAUAGCAAUGUUAUCUAUGUCUAAAGUAAGAAAAUUACUACAAAUAUAUUUUCACAAAAAUUAUGUACAUUUAAGAAAGACACGUGUCAUCUUAGAGAUAAAAAAAAUUAAUAUAGAAAUAUGGACAGGUAGAUGAAAAAAUCUAUUACAUCAAUAAUUUAACUAACUCACCUCCACAAUUUCUGAUAGAGAAUUGCCGUAAAGAUCAUUUUUUCCAAUGUUAUCAAAAGAUUGUGGAAAUUGCACAUAAGCAAUUUCUUGGCCUUUAUCUUCAUCCAUGAAAAAACAUAGAGUAUCUCUCACUGAUUGUGAAUGGGUGGAGUACAUGUCACAAUCUAGAAUUAGAAUGAUUUUCCCAUUGCUAAUCGAUGAAGACACUCUUAGCUACAUCAAUGUAAAGAAAUAUAAUGUCAUGUUCAAUGCACCUCGAUCGAAUAAUAUUUCGUGAAAGAUUACUAACCACGCCAUGUAGAGAUUUAUAUAAAUAAUUUAUCGUAUUUUAUUUCAAUUAAAAUUUGAAAAUUUUGUUUAUGAGAUAUUAGAAGAAUAAGUCACAAGGUUAUUUAAAACUCUUUAUAAUAUAUAUAGAGAGAUAGCUAGAUAGAAAUAAUAACAUAUAUAUUAAUUUAUUGCUAUCUACUUUAUUGGGAUGUGAUUCUCCAUCCAAAUUUUGUUGUAAGGAGAGUGAAGGGUUGUAAUUAUGUAUGGUACCAAUGAAUUUAUAGCUCCGGCUUUGAAGUGGGUGUGAUAUUGAGGUCUCUUUUCACGAGCCAUAUACACUAAGGUUGGCAAAAUACACCCGUCUACGUCCUUUGACCCUUCUGUGUCCUUUUUAUGCAUCACUAUCUGUUAACACAAUCAAACAUGCAUCAAACUUUCUGUACAUCUCAAACACAUACUUUUACAAAACAAAAACUUCAGAAAUUGAUGUACUUGAAGGAUAGUAUCGUGAUCACGUGGAGAGGAAUACGAAUCCCAUUGGGAAAAACCCUUAUGCUUUGACCGUGCUUCACUGGGUACACCCAACUUUGUUGCUUCUUCUACUCUCCUUUUCAUUUCUUCGUAUAAUUUCUACACAUAAAAUGAAACUGAGUCUUCAAAAUACUUGGUGAACAAGUGAGAUGAAAGUAAGAAGAUGAGUAAUAGGUGCAUACAUGGAUGGUUGCCAAGUGUUUGACAUAGUUAUGGUCCUCUGAUUUUGUUGAAGCAACAGUGUUAAAAUAGGCAGCAGGUGAUCUUGGUUCCACCUUAAAUCUCUUGCAGAAUGGAAUCCAAUGCUUGGCAAAGGAAGAAGCUUGUAAAAGAGCAUAAAAGGUUACAUCUGAGCCUCCAUCAUCUGAGAGAUACACGCUCAACUUCUCAGCUGGAUAGUCAUAAGCCAUCACAGAUAACACUGUAUUGAUCACCAUCAUCGGUGGCUCCACCACUGCAUCUGCCGUAAACACAAAGAUGUCCACUCCCGGGAACCUACUCUCAUAUCUGCCAAAUUGAAAUUCACACACACAUAAUCAUAAAUCAGUACACUACAAAAAAAUCAGAUUUAUAGACAGAUUUUUAUCCACAGAGUCCAUAGAAACAUCUACGUAAAGGUGACAAAGAUGAACCUUGGAGUGAGUCUGUUGGGGAAGGUUGUUCUGUAGACCAUGUUCCAUCGAAGGGCUUGAUAAAAGAUCCAAUAGAUGCCACCCCACACUUCUGCAACAAACAAACCAAGCCAAGCCCAUUUCCCAGCUUCUCCUUUUGCAGGUAUGUGAGUGAGUCUGAAUGCCCAGACGAAGCAUAUGGCCACAGACAAAGAGACAGCAUAGAGCCUCCGAAUGUGCCUUGCUUUGUCUUUCCUUGUUUCAAACAAUGAGUUCUCUUCACCACUCCCCAUUGCGCCUUCUCACUCACUCCACUUUCUUCUUCUGCAUGUUCAGUUCGGUUUCUUAUAUAGCUACAAAGUCAAUGAUCUUCCAUGAGUUGUUAAAAUUUCAAUAUAAUUGUCGUUCUGUGGGUUGGGCGACAGAGAUCAUAUGACGUAUAGUGGCUGGAGCAGUUCAGCUAGAAUAUUAUUCUAAUAUCCACGAGCAUCACGUAUAAUUUUGGAAGAAAAACUUUGUAUCAUUACCUAUUUUAAAAUGGUAGGUAACGAUACACAUCACAUAUCAUUUGGGAAGAGUGAUUGAUCCAUGAGCUACGCAUGUCAUUUUAGAAUGAUUUUUGAGUUGAUCCUGUUUCUCAGAUUAUCUCUGGUGAUGCAUGCUACACUGACUUUCCCACCAAGACUUCAAAGCAAAAGCCAAAAGAAAGUGACGAGUGCCCUGACGAAACGAGACAAAUAUUGAAAUGCUAAACUAGUUCCCUUUGUGUUACUGCAUUAUUAUGGUAAUCAAGAUAGUGAUCAGACAUCAAAUUGCAAUAAGCCAACGCUACUUUGUAUUUUGACUAUUUUCAUUUUAAAAUUAGGUAAUGAUAAUUCUAAUUUUUUAUACAAUCAUGUUAUACCUAUUACAAUUUUCAAUAUUAUUAUUUUAAGAGUUAUAUAUAAUUGAAAGAGUAGUCAAACUAUCACUUUCUUUUAAAGUUAUGCUUGACAGUGAAAUCUCAACUAAUUUAUAUUUUUUAUUAAUUAAAAAACUGUUAGACUUUCUAGUAACAUUUACUACAAAAAUUAUUAAAUACAAACAUAAAAUAAUUAAAUAUAAUUUUACAUACUAAAAAUAUUAUUAGAAUGUCAAUUUAUAAGCUAGUUUAACCAUUAAAUAGAAAAAAAUUAAUUAUUAUACUGACUAAAUUAGAUUUUAUAUUAGAUUUUAUUUUAUAAAUUAAAAAAUUAUUAAUAUAUAAAUUUAUAAACUAGUUUAAACGUUAUCAACUUUAUAAUAAAAACCAAUUUUAAAUAGUAAAACAAAAUAAAUCAUCAUUAUAUUAACUAAAGUAUACACUACAAGAAAAUCAUGAAAUAAAAAUAAAUUUUUAGAAACUAAAAUAAUUAGUUGGAAUAAUAACUAAAUUAAAGACCAUUUUAGAAACUAAAAAUAUUUUUGGUUUCUAAAUUAAUUUUUAUUAUUGUUAAAUAGUUUCUAAAUUGGUAUCUAAUUAGCAACCAAAGUUUUGACUACCAAUUAUUUAGUUUUUAAAUUUGGUAGAAAAACAUUUGUCGCUAAUUAGAUAUCAAUUUAGAAACUAUUUAACAAUAAUAAAAACUUAUUUAGAAACUUAUUUAGAAAUUUAUUUUUUUUUUAAUUUUUAAAAUGAAUUCUAAUUUAGUUACUAUUGUAACUAAUUAUUUUGGUCUCUAAAAAAUUGAUUUUUAUUUCAUUAUUUUUUUUAUAGUGAGAUAAUAUUUUAAAGACUAAAAAAAAAUUAUUAAGUUGUUUUUAUGGAUUAUGUAAUUUAGAGAUACAUUGAAAUAUACACAUAAACGUAAUAAGAAGCCCAAGAUAUUAAUUAAGAUCCACCACCAGAUUUGGGUGCCACUCCACUUCAGCCCAUAACAGGUGAAAAUAUAUAUAUAACGUGACUAUGAAAAGUUUAUAUUCGAGACUCUAAUAAUAAUUAAUAUAAAGAAAGAAAAAACAUAAUAAAAAAGCUUAAAUAUGUUGCUAACAAACUUUCAUUUUCCUCAUUUAUAAAUUUUAUUUAUAAUUUUUUAAUUUAAAAAUCAACUUUAACUAAUAUUACUAUUUAAUAAUUUUUUAAUUUUGUUUUUUUAUUAUGAAACAUUGGUAUUAAUAUUAAUAUUUAAUAAAUUAAUUUUUAGUAAUAGUUUUUAGAAAAAAAUUCGUCUAUAGUCACUUAUUAAUUUGAGAUUAGUUACAUGGUGUUUAAAUUGAGUUAUUAGUGAUCAAAUACUAUAUUCUUAAAACAAUACUUAAGUGUUAUUAAUGAAAAAAAUAACAAUAUUAAGUUUUAAAAACUUAAUAAUCUUUAAUUAUUUUAAAAAUAUACUAUCUAAUGAGUUAGUUUCAUCUAUAAUAACAUAUAUAUAUAUUACGUUGACAUUAUAUAUAGUAACACUUAUUUUUAAAAAACAUUAUUAUUAUAUAAAAUAUAUUUAUAGUAAUACUUGUAAUAAAUGUAAAUAAGAAAACGUUAGUGUUGAAUAUCGUAAUUAACUAUGAGACUCAGACAUUCUCCUUUAUUGAUGUAUUCGUGUCAGACACACAUAUCAAACACGUAUUGAUAGUGUCUAUUUUAAAGAAUAUUUGUUGGAUUUCUGAUAACUCUAACACUUACAUUAAUUUUUUAAAAACUCGAAUUUAUUGUAUAAAUUUUUAUUAUAAUUAUAAAAAUAAAAAAUAAAUCAUUUUAAAAUAAUCAUGAAUUUCUAUUCUAAAAAUAAUAUUUAAAUAAAUAAUUUCCAAUUUUACUUUUUAGUUAAAGCAAUAACAUAACAAUAUCACAAAUUUUAAUAACCAAAAGAUCAUUUCAACCUCAUCAAACUCACUUACCCUAUUCAAUGAAGUUUGCAAAAUUUAUAUACCAUCAAAUUUGUUUAUCUCUAAUCAAUGUGGGCUUAAUCAUCACUCGUACCUCAAGCGUUGCACUUCGACACUUUGCUACACUAGGAAAUGAAAGAUGCUAGGUAACAUGCUAAUGAAGCCACGAUAAUGGACUUCAGCAUAAUCGAGGAUGAUAUUCUGCCUUUAUCACUACGAAUGAAAAGUGCUUCAUAUACUGGUAAAUUGAUCAUCACCACCAACAAACUCAGUGUAAUCUGCACCAUCAAUUGGCUCCACCCGAAUUCCAAUUCCAUGAGAACCCUCUUCAUUCCUCCAACCACUCCAAAAAGGUUUAGCAUAGCCACUGUUGCUAAUAUGGUCAACAUGAUCGAGGAGCCUCCAAAAUCAAUUAUUUCUUCCUCGUAUCUCUUUCGAACAUCGUCAGUUACCACUUUAUCUGUGAUCACAAACUUUGUCUGUGACAACCCUAUUUGCUUGCUCAUGGUAUCGAUGAAGCCAAAGAGAUAAGAGGUGAUUCUGUGGAUGAACUUUAUUCUUUGCAAAUUCCACCAACCUCUUGUCGUGGAUCCACAGCUCAAAUACUCACACAAGCUAUAGCCAUAGGUAGCAAGAAAAGCAUACUCAAAUGGAAGGACCCACAUGCUUGAAAGCUGCAAAAACAUGGAGGAGAGGAAGUGAGUACAACAAGAUUAAUGAAAGAAAUCAAAUUUAUUCCAAGGAGAAGACAACCUUUGGGAACAAUGGAAUGCCAUGAAACAAGGAAAUUGGAAGAACAAUGGCAUAACAAAGAGUGGGCAGAGACAUUGGAGCCCACAAGAGGUAAUUGCAAUAUCCCAUUUGCACACCCAAGUGGAUCUUCCCAUGCCCAUAAAUGAAAGGGCAAUACUUGGAGAAGAAAACUUGGAACAAGCCUUCCGACCACCUCAUGUGUUGAAGACAGUUCACAUCCAAGGUUGUUGGAGCUAUGCCCACAAAUGCCUUCCUUUCGGGGUUGUAAUAAAUGGAUUUCCAACCCCUGCACGAGAUUACAAGGCCUGUUGCAAUGUCUUCUACAGCAAUACCAUAUACUAAUCCCAUCUGCAACACUCAUAAGUAUUAUUGAAUCAUUUUGUUAAAUAUUCUACAACUAGGACAUUUCAUAGUGUAUAUAAAUAAGUAUAAACUAUAAGUGGAUACAAAUUUUAGAUCAAAUUCUACAAACAAACAAACACUUACCUCCUUCCCCCAUUGGGUGCCCUCCUCAUAGGUGCAAGUGGCUAAAGCUUUGGAUGCUUCAUUCACUUCAUCAAUUGUUCUGUUAUGGUUUCUUCUAGGCUUGAUCUCCCAUUUUACUCUGCAAUCUCUUGGGUAAGAUCCUGAAAGACUUUCUCUUCGAUGUAAGCAUCCUGUUCCACAGAACAAGGCUGCUCCAUAUCCGCAUAUGCCAGCUAACUCAAACUGCAUUAUUGUAUCAGAAAAUCAGACUCAAUAGUGUUAGUUCAUGUUUUUGUGUUACUAUGCUAUUUAAAGUUAUUAAAUUGUUUUUAUUACUCACCUUAGAGCUUACAAAAUAAGAAUUUCCAUAGUGAUCAUUUUUGGUGAUGUUGUUGUAGCUUUGUGGAAACUGCACAUAAGCUAUAUCUUGUCCUUUUGUUUCAUCGAGGAAAAAACACAGUAUUUCCUGAAUUGUAUCUGCAUUAUUGGAGUACAUGUCGCAGUCCAAGUUGAGGAUGAAAGGGGCGUUGCUUAUUUCUGAUGAUACUCUUAUCUGCAUAACAAAACAAACCUACUAUGUUACAUUGAAGGAGAAAGAAUAUUUUGACAAUAAAAAAAACACAUAAUAUAUAUUAAAAUUAAAAUAUUAUUAUUCUGAAACUCACCAGUGCAUUGACAGCUCCAGCUUUGAAGUGAUGAGGAUGAUUGGGUCGUUUCUCGCGUGCCACGUAUACCAGUGUUGGAAGUUCAUAUCCAUCUUCAUCUACACCAUUUAUGUCCCUUCCAUCCAUUAUAAUCUAAGGUAACCAACAACAAAUAUUAAUUACAUAAAAAAACUAAAAUAUUCAUCACAAUUUUGUGCUUAAUUUAUUUUUUAGAAAGUAAAAUUGUUGAUACCUGCACGAUGGAGGGGUGAUCCUGUUUUGUGGUUUUUGGAUUCCAUUCGGAGAAUCCUCUGUGCUCAUUCCUCACAUUCUCUGGAACCUCUCCCCUUCCCACAGCUGAUUCAAUGUCACUUUUCAUUUCUUCGUACAAUUUCUGAAACAUGGAUGCAAUCUCAUUAACUAUAUGAACAUAUUAACAAUUGGUUAUAAAAAAAACCUUUGUUACCUUGAUAUGCAAGCAUGCUUUGUGAUAUUCAGUGGUAGUGCUGCAACUUUGAGCAUGAUGAGCAAAGAAGACUUCUGGGGACCUUGGUUCAACGUUGAAUCUUCUGCAAAAGGGUAACCAGUGUUUGGAGAAAAUGGAGGCCUUUAAGAGAGCAUAGAAGGUUAACUGAGAGCCUCCAUCGUCAGAGAGAUAGACAUUCAGUUUAUUUGCAGGAUAAUUGUAUGCCAUUGCUGAUAAGACCGUGUUCAUCACCAUGCAUGGAGGCUCCAGCUUUGGAUCAGCCGUGCAUACAAAAAUGUCUACUGCUGGUAAAUUCUCCUCCUUAUAUCUGUCCAAAUAUUUGCUCGUAAUUAAUAAACAUCAAAUGGUAGAAUGUCAAACAUAUAAAUUAAUUUUAAUUAGUGGGAAAUUAUUUUAUUUAUUCGUUCAAAAUUUCACAUUGAUUAGAGAUAUAAGUGAGUGCAAAUCUUACCUUAUAAGUUAGGAAGCUCAGACACUUUCUUAAAUAGCGUGUCGAUGUCGGAUAUUCGUAUUGAACACCGAUACUCGUAUAACACUUAUAGGACAUGUAUUCUUGAAGUGACCAAUUUAAAAAUAUUUAUUAAACUUUUGACAAUUUUAAUACGGUUCUAACACAAUAUUAAAAAGAAAAAAUACAUUAAUUUUCUAAAAAAUUAAGGGUUUAAAGUCUGUGUUACAUAGCUUAAAAGUCAGUUUUACAAUAUUAAUAUUAUGUUAGUGUAAUUAGAUUUUAACUGAUAUGAUUUUUCUAUUUUAAAAUGUUUUAAAUUUUACUAUUUUUAAUAAUUAAUAAAAAAAUUACAUUUUUUAAUAAAAAAAAUCUAAAAACCCACUUCUUCUAAGUCCAAGUAAGACAAAUCAUAUAAUUAAUGCAUAUUGUAUAAUUUUAACAAACAAAUAUUGAGUAACAAUGAAUUAUGACUAAACUAUAUGAAAAACAACAAUAUCAUGGAAUUAUUAAAUUCCUAACCCUGGAUGAUUGUGUCGCUUGCAUAUUCUAAAUGGAAAUCCACUCUGACAUUUUGUACAAUCCAAUGUAUUGUUUUGCUUUUUACGAUGUCUCUUAAAUGUGAUGCACAACACUCUUAAUUGCUGCAUUUACUUCCCUCGAAACAAUCAAUGUCAUCAUACUGAUAUAUUAAUAUUUAUAAGUUUUAAAAAAAUCAUUUUAAUAAAAAUAUAAAAUUUUAAAAUAAAUUUUAAAAUUAAAAAAAUUAUAAAUAAUUAAAAUAUUAAUAUUAAUGGUGUGAAAAAUACAUUUUUAUUUACAAAAUUUACAUCAUCUUUUCAUGACUUUUUCACUAAAUUUAAAACAAUAUAUAUCAAGACUAAAGUCAUGUAAUAGAUUACAAAACAAAAAAUCUUAGUCCACCUAUAAUUUAUAUAUUUUAAUAAUUUUUUAAUAAAUUUAGAAAAUAUAUAAUUCUUUUAAGAGAUAAACUCUGAGUCAAAUUUCUGAUCAUAUAUAAAAUAAAUCUCUUACAUGUAAAUAUAUUAUAUAAUAAAUUUAAUAUUUCAGUUAAACUGACUCAACUCUGCAGUCUGUUUGUGUUUUUUUUUUAAUUUAAAAUUGAAUAAAAAUAGUAGAAUUGAAGUUGAGAAUGAAAGAUUCAGAUCCUGUCCUACAGAAUAUAGAAAAAGCAGAGAAAAAAAAAGUAUAUUCUUAAUUAAGAAAGAAAGAUCUGAUUGAAAAAGAAAAGCAGAGAGAAGAUGAAGAAAAGCAGAGAACCUGUGUGAGAGGUUGUGUUUGGAAGGUGUUUGAUAGAGUAUUCUCCAACGAACAGACUGAGUGAUGAUCCAGUAGAAUCCAAACGCAAACUCUGACACCAUAACACUCAUCCAUGCCCAUCUUCUUCCUCUUCCAACUCUCUCCAUGUUCAUCACUCUGUAAAACCAGAUCAAACAGAUAGCAGCAAAUAUUGUUGAUGCAAAAACCCUGUACACUCCUCUGAAUCUUCCUUCCUUUGUCUCAAACAGAGGAACAUCUUCUCUCACACCCUCUUCUCUCAUUCUCUUUCUCUCUGAUCUCAUCAACUUCUUUUCUCUUGGUGAACCACUACUUUUAAAUUUAUAUGGAAUGAGUGUAAAAUUUGGUAUCUACCUGUCACUGCAUUUAGGGUUACUUGGUUCACAUUGUGUCCAUUAGGUUUAACAAAGUAAAUUUUUUACUAUUUCUGUCUGUCCGCACACUUUUUAUACUUGUCUCAAUCUGACUUGGUUGGUCUUAUGAUAGAAAAAAUAUCAUGAUAUUUUAAUACUAUACUCUAUGAAGUUCAGACACUCCUUUUAAAUGUCGUAAAUGUCGUGUUGGUGUCCGACACUUGUAUAACGCAUGUAGGACAUGUAUCUGUUAAAUGUCAAAUUCAAAAAGUAUUUGAUAGAUUUCUGAUAAUUUUAGUAUGGUUCUAACACAAUUUUAAAAAGAAAAAAUACAUUAUUUUUCUUAAAAUUCAAACUUUAUUGUAUAAAUUGUUAUUAUGAUUAUAAAUAUAAGAAACAAAUCUUGGUGAUUCAGUCAUGAAAAACAUCUUUCUGCUCUAAAAAAUAUAUGAAACAUACUUGUGCACAUAAAUCUUUAUUGUCAAUUUAUAUAAUUCAUAAUUAUAUAAUAUAUAGAUCUGUGUUUGUGUCCAUGUCAGUAUUUGUGCUACAUAGCUCUACUCCACUCUACACCCAUAACAAAAUAUUAAUAUUUAUAAUAAAAAAAUUCUUUAAAAAUAAUUAAAAUAUUAAUAUUUAGUGAGGUGUAGGGUGGAAUAUGAGGUGUGAAAAAAUCAUUUUUCUGAAAGAAAAAACACAAGAAAAAAUGACAAUUUAUCAUUUUGCUUAUUAUUUAUUUGCAAUUUUUUUAUCUUUCUAAAAACAGUGUCACUCACAUGCAUAGUUUUAACUGGGAUCCAACCAUUGAUUUAGAUGGAAAUCAGUGAGUCAAAGUCUAUUGCUGACUGGUUGGUUGGAACGAUUCAAAAACUUCACAAACAGAUAAACUCAGAAAAAAAAAAUAAACUAAGUUGAAAUUGAAUAAGAACCUGGUACGGGUUUGAACCGGAAUUUAAAUAAUUAUGUAUUUUUUGUUAUUUUUUUAGAUUUUUAAAUAAAAAUCUUUACGUGGAAAUAAUUCUAGAAUGUUAUUGUUUAAUUAUUAAUUUUACUUUUUUAUGGCUAAAAACACUAUACUAUUUAAUCAUAUACAUAGGUAGGACUAAAUAUAUGAUACAAUGAAAUGAAUAUAUAAACAUAUAUAUAACACAUAUGCUUAUUUAAUAUAUAUAUAUAUGAAAAAACUAAAUUUUAUUCUACAACCACAAAUAUACUAUACAAACAACAAAAAGUCUUAUCUAAUGAAGAUUUCAGUUCUAAAGAUGUCUUGGGAUGCUUUGGUGAGCAAUGAGAAAAAUCCAAAAAAAUGAAUAGGAUAAAAAAAACCUAUGUAAAAUUUUAGAUUUUAUUUAUUUUUUAACUGAGGGACAAAAAUGUAAUUGCACAAGAUGCCACAAGGGAGAUUGACAUGGUGGUAUUAUUAAUAAGAAAAUAUAUUUUGAACAGAAAAAAAAAAUAUUAACAGAAGGUGUGCCACAUCCUUUCUUUUUCAUUAUACAUAUAUUUUGUUGAUAAAAAAUUGUUAUGAAUGUAAAAUGAAUGUUUUCAUUAUACAUAUAUUUUGUGUUUUGUUUUUAUGCCUUUACUUGAUCCAUAAUACUUUUGGGCAUUGAGUGGGCUUCGUGGGCUCAUAUGUACGUCUCAAGACUGGUCCAUUCAUAAUGGCAGUUUCUUCCUGCACUCCUAUAUAUUUCUUUCUGCACCCCCACAAUGUUGUGCAAAGACAAAAUCGUCCCUAUAUAAAAAUUGUACAUUUACUUUUUUGCAUUCCGGAUUUCGCGCUUCUGGUAAAAUUUCAGAUUGGUGCAUCCAAUAAUCUCCCGGAUUAGGCUUCCAGAUUCAACAAUCCAUAAAUAGAAAUUAGGUUUCUGGAUUCAACAAUCUAGAAAUCAACAAUUUAUGCAAACUCUGCUUUCAAAACACUCCCUCAUCCAAAAAGCAACAUGAUUCACUUCUGAAUUAAUGAAUCCGUAGCACACUUCCAGAUCCUGAUUUCAAAUAAAAGAUGAAUGUCAAUUUCGAGAUUUAGAAAAUUGUGAGGAUGCAGGAGGAAGAAAAAUGUAAAGGUGCAGAAAGAAACUGUCAUUCAUAAUUUACAUAUCGACUUUUUUUUAUGCAAUUUCAUAGUUUAUUGUACACUUUUAUAUUUUUUUAAAUAUAAAAAAUAUUAUUUAUUUUAUUGAUAUUUUUUAUUUUGAAAAGAGUGAUAUGGAAAAAUACCAGAUUACGAAUUUAGUAUUUUUUAAUUCAAUAAUAUAAAAGAAUUUCUUUUAAAAAAUACACUUCUAAAUUAUGAAAUUUAAAAUUAUUUUCAAAUUAUAAAAUUUGAAAGAUAUUUCUGGAUUUAGAAAUACAUUUCAAAUGUAAUCUAAAAUAUAUUUUUUAUAAAAAAAUUAAAUUAUAGAAUUCUAAAGAUAUUUAUGGAUCUAAAAUAAUUUAUGGAUUUUACAAUCCAAUCCAAUAAAUGUAAAUAAGAAAAAAAUAAUUUUUCAUAUUAUAAAAUCUAAAAUUUUUUUUUUAAAUAAAAUAAUUUUUACCUAAAAAAAAGUUAUAGAGACGAAGAAAGAAACAGUCUUACAUAUGAACGUUGUAAAAAUUGAAUAUUAGGUAUAAAUUUCUUAUGUUUUUUUAGAUUUUUUUAUUGUAUAAUGUUUUCUUGUUAAAUUAUGAAGAUUUUAUGUUCUUGAUAAUAACAUAUGCUUAUAAAAGAAUUGAAACAUAUUUUUUGCUGAUAAGUAACUCUUCAGUUUAAACAUAUGAAUAAUAAGAUAUAUUUUCAUUAAUGUGGUUAUUUUGUGCUUUAAGUGUUAAUUACUUUUUAACAAGUAUUUAUAAAUAUCUACGAAUAUUAAUCAUGAAUAUUCACAAAAACACACUGGCAUAUGAUUAGUAUCUGUCAAAUCAUAUAUGGUGAAAUCUUUUUUCAAUUUUAUAUGUUUUAUUUAAUCAUUGACAUACAACUUUUCAUUUUCUACUUUUAUCAUUUCAUUAUUAUUUUGAAGUAUUUUGUUUAUACUUUUCUUACAGCGCUUUAUUUUAUUUAUAGCAUAAUAGACAAAUUCAAAUAAAAAAUAUGACAUUGAUUUAAAAAAAUUAAUGAAAAAAUAUAUGAUGAAAAUUAAAUUAAUUUCGAAUGCAAAAUCUUAAUAACUUUAUUAUCAUUUAUAAAAACAUUGAAAAUAUAAUGCAAUUACAUUUUAUUUGAAAGCUCAAGUAUUAACAGUUAACUAACAAUGGACCUUUAAAUAAAUACAUAAUAGUUCCCCAAUCCAUUUAUAGCUCAUGUUCAAUUAUCCAUUCACACAAUAGAAAGCAAUGUUUUCUCUCAGAUUUUGUUUUUGCCCCAAACAGAUUUAAUUAACCAAUGAACUUAUGGAAAAGUUUAUUUAUUUUAAUUCCAUAAUUCUUUUUAUAAAAAGGACUAGAUAGAAAAAAAAAAUUAUCCAUAAACAGUAAUUAGAUUAUUAAUUUAUAGAACUUUUUUUCAAUUUUUUUUUUAAUUCAUUCACUAAUUAUUCAUUAGAAAGUUGACAGAUAAAAUAAAAUAAAAAAAUUGAUAUCAUGGUUGAAGAGGAUGUAUGGGCAACCAUUACCAUAGCAAUCAUGCAUGAGUGUUCCAAAUAAUUGUUGACAGAUGUUUGAGACAAACUCUGAAAUAAAGUUUGUCUUUUUCCUUUCUUUCUAAUUUGCAUCACCACAUUCUUCUUACUUUGAUCCCUCACAAUACUCUAAUGGUACAAAAUUUGCUAUAUUGUGGUGAGAAAUUGCAGAAUGUAACACCAAUGAAAAUUGAAAAAAGUAUAUAAAAAAUUAAAACAUUAUUCAGAUAAAAAACAUUCAAAUAUCAUCUCAAUUCUUACCGUGUUCUUACCGUGUAGUAUCACAUUGCUUAGAAAUAAAGGUUAAUAUCCGUCCAUAUAUUCAUUCUUCCUCCAAUCCAAUCCACACUGAGAUAGUUAAAAACAUUAAAAUAUCAUUUUGAAUAAUCUAAAUUUUUACCGUCUCAUAUCGCUUAUGAGUCGAGGUCAAUGAGAGUCUAUAUAUUUAUUCCUCCUCUAAUCCAUUGAGAUAGUUCAAAAGUAUUAAAAUAUCAUUUUGAAUAAUCUAAUUUUUUACCGUAUAAUUUAGGGUCGCUUAGGAAUCUAGGUCCAUGUCACUUUAUAUAUUCUUUCAUUUUCUAGUAACAAACUGUAACGAAACAUUAACUUUAUUAUAACAAUAUUAUCUCUCGUACUUGAAGUCGGAUAUAACCGUUCAUAGAUUUUUACUAUUUUAGUAAAAUUUCAUAAAUAUUUACUAACUUGCCAUAUUUGUUUAGAUAAUUAUUUAAAAUUUUAAUCAUUAUAUUAACUAGUAAAUAAAAUUACAUCAGAAUUAUAAAAAUGAGCAGUUUUAAAGUCAAGGAGAUAUAACAUGAAUUUAUGAACUUUUUCCAUAUAUGCUGCAUAUUAUGCAGGUAGAGAUAACAUAGUAAAGUAAAAUAAAUAAAAGAAUUUGGUUUGUUGAGAGGGUUUUGUUCUUGGAGGGUACGUGGCCAACCAUCUUUACUGCAACUUUUAUUCUGAUAGAAUUUUGAGUAACUCUCCUCACAAGUCACGAUACUGAGAUAGAUCACAUCACAGACACUGUGUUCUACCGGAUGAUCGCAUACAAAACCAUUUUAAAGGAAUCUUGAAUAGUAACGAUUGCACAGGAUUAUUUCCCCUUUUAACUUUCUGUACCUGACAUGCUGAUGCAAAAUUUGUCUUUAAACACACCACGCAUUUUGCAUUUUCACUUCAUCCCAACCCAUCUCUCUCUUUCCCUCUUCACAAGAAUGUGAAGAUUCUUCGCCUCUGUUCUGCUCUGCAAUCCAAUGCCACAGAUUCUCUCUUGUCUUUUGAAGCUUUCCAAGAACCACCCUCUUUCAAAGGUUUUUUCUUUUCUGACAUGUGUCGGUGAAUUUUGUUUCGAUUCAUUGAAAGAUGGAAUCUUUGAUGCGGUUUUGUUAAUGGGUUUUUGUUGAAAUGGCUGAAUAGGCUACUUGGGGGUUGUUUUUGGGUGGUUUCCUGCAGAGAUCUUUGAUAUGUGAGAGUUGGAUUGUUUUGAGUUUGAUGCUUGCAAUGUGUUGUGUUGAUGUUGUUUUUCUUUCAGUUUCUUUCUUGUAACAUCAUUUUUUUGUGUACCAGGUUGGCUUCAAAGCCUAUUGUUAUUGUGAUAUUAUUUAAAUUUGAAUAAAAGGCACUAUGGUGGCUAAUAUCAGGCAAAGUUCUGCUAACUCUCCAAAUCCUAAAAAACCAGCGGUUGGAGAGAUUGAUACCAGUCCACCUUUUCAGUCUGUUAAAGAUGCGGUUUCUCUAUUUGGUGAAGGAGCUUUAUCUGGUGAAAAACCUGUCAUUAAGAAGGCAAAAUCUUAUUUUGCUCAGGUAACUAUGAUUUUUGUCCUCUAUUUUUUGUAUUUCUAGGUGGUACAAACUAUGAAUACCAUAUUGUUAUUGUUAAACUAUAUCUGAAGUUGAACAUCGAGAAGGUACAAUGGAGCAACAACUUUAGUGUAAGAUUCAUUCCUAGCAUUGUAGAGAUUUUGAAUCUAAAUUUGUAUCUCCACCUUGUGUUUUGAUGGAAAAAGUUUGAUCAGGGUGAAAUUUGAAAUAUUUUGGAGACAUUCAUUCUUCUUAGAUUGAAUUCUUUUACAUCAUCAUUAGGUGUUUCACGAUUUGGUCUGCACAGUCCAGUAUCGUGCUUUGAUCAGUAGCAGAUGGCAUCUCCUUGUUAACAUGUGUCAUGGUCAUCAAUGACAUGCUCUCAUUUACCACAUAAGUGAAAAUUGUUUCUGUUGUUUAGACUGAAGCUUAAGUGGAUUUCUAUGAUCCUAGACAAGUUGCAUUCAUAGUAGAUAAUCAAUCUUUUGAAAAAGCUAUUCAAGGUUGUUCAAAUUGGACAAGCUGUUUUCAUAACCAAACUCAUUUAUUUUGGUCAUUAUUUAACUUUGAAAGCCUUUCUAAUAUUGCAUGACAACUUACAAGAUUUUCUAUUUUAUUAGAGUAUAUGGGCAAAGGAGUCACAACUUCACCUAGCCCAGAAAGAGCUGAAAAAAUUAAAGGAACAAGUUAAGAAUGCAGAAACUACCAAGGCUCAAGUCCUGGUGGAGCUUGAAAAGGCUAAAAGAGUGGUUGAGGAUCUCUCACAGAAGCUUGAAGUUCUCAUCGAAUCCAGACAAAAAGCAAUACAAUCAACAGAUGAUUUCAAAAGUCGAGCAAAACAGCUUAAAGAAGAAAAGUGUGGUGAUCCUGAUGGAACCAAUGGUACUUGGAAAGAAGAGUUAGAAAUUGCCGUUAAAAGUUAUGCCUCUGUCGUUACAGAACUUGAUGAUGCAAAGCAAGAACUGAGUAAAAUUCGGCAGGGGUAUGAUCUCUCCUUAGAAGUAAGAGGUUCUGCUUUCAAGCAAGCAGCAGAAGCGGAAGAUGCAAUGAAGGUGAACACCAAAAGAGCAUCCGAACUAUCUAAAGAAAUUUUGGCUGUACUGGAAUCAAUUGAUCAAAUUAAUGCUGAAUCUGUCCAAGCACAUUUGCUGCAAGAAGAGACAUUAACCGAGCAUAAUGUUCUAAGACAAUCAUAUGAAGCCACCCUUGAAGAAUCGAGAAGGAAUUUGCUUGAUUUAAAGAAGGAAUUUAAUCCAGGGCUUUCCAAAAAUCUAGAAGUGCAGCUGACUGAGACAAUGAAUGAAAUAGGUGUUCUGCAAGAGCAAAUGGAAAAUAGGAAGAAAUCAGACUUGGAUGCUUUGAGAAGUGUCACCCUGGAUCUUGAUGAUGCCAAGGAAUCACUGCAGAAAGUAGCAGGACAGGAGGACUCCCUUAGAACCAUGGUGGAAGCUCUUAGGAUGGAUCUGGAGAAUGUAAAAAGAGAACACACUGCAUUGAAAGAGAAAGAACUCAAAACUGAAUCCGUUGUUGAGAGUCUGCGAGUAGAGCUCCAGAAAAGUGAGUCUGAACUUGAGGCAUACAUGGCAGAAGAAUCUAAAGCUAGAGGUGCAUCAGAGGAAAUGAUUUUGACAUUGAACCAGUUGUUGACUGAAACUGAAAGUGCGAGGAGGGAAACAAAAGAUAUGAAGAAUGAGGCUGCAGAACUGAAGAUGGAAGCUGUACUCACUAAACUUGUUUUAGAAGAUGCCGAAAUAAAGCUUAAAGCAGCACUGCAAGAAGCAGAAGUAGCAAAAACAGCCGAGGCAAGUGCUCUUGAUCAGAUCAGGGUCUUAUCUGUGAGGGCCAGUUCUUCUCUUUCAUCAACUUCUGAAUCAGGUGCAAGAGUUACAAUCUCAAGGGAGGAGUUUGAGUCCUUAGUUCAUAAGGUUGAGGAGUCUGAUAAAUUAGCUGAUAUCAAAGUGGAUGCUGCAAAAGCACAGGUGGAAGCUACAAAGGCUGGCGAAAAUGAAGUUCUGAAAAGGUUAGAGGAAACUCAAAAGGAAAUUGAGGAUAUGAAGACUGAAACACAGGAAGUCUUGAAAAGGGCUGAUAUGGCUGAAGCAGCAAAGAGAGCAGUGGAGAAUGAGCUCAGAAAGUGGCGUGAAAGAGAGCAGAAGAAAGUAGCUGAGGCUGUAUCUAAAAUAUUGGCUAAAACACAGAUGACACCAGAAUUAUCUCCUCAGCACUAUAGGAUUCAAAAGCAGAAUUCACUACCAAAGGUGGAGAUGAGGAAGUUAGAAAAAGGGAAGGUGGCAGUUUCAAAGAAAGUUCUCUUGCCUAACAUGAGUGGCAUCUUUCACAGGAAAAAGAACCAUGUUGAGGGAGGAUCUUCUUCUUAGCUUCUGAAAUUUGUUAGAGAGAAACAUACUGGUUUGUGUGAAAGUUGAGACCAAGGCAAUCAGAUUUUUGUCAACAUGGUAUGAGGGAAAAGAUUUCGAAAUGUCAAUAGUUUGAUGAUAAUUAUUUUAUUAAUGUAACUUUCCUAGUAUAUUAUUGUAUAUUGCUACAUUCAUGUCUGAGUAGUAUGAUGAACUGUUCUAUUCUAUGGGAAAGCAUUAUGAUGAUUAUAAUAACUAUUAGAAAAACUAUAUCAUCGCCUAUCUGUCCACUCUUCUUCAUUAUCUGAUGCAUUGUGUAAUGUUGCUAAGUUUCGAACACUCUUCUUAAAUGGCCUACCUGUGUAGGAGACACAUAUUGAACACCGACACUUGUACAACACUUGUAGGAUACAUAUUGGUGAAUUGUCUAAUUCAAAAAAUAUUUGUUGGAUUUCUGACAAUUCUAACGCGAUUCUAACACAUUAAAAAAAAAAAAUACAUUAAUUUUCUAAAAAUUCAAACUUAUUGUAUAAAUUUUUAUUAUGAUUAUAAAAAUAAGGAACAAAUCUUUUUAAAUUAUUCAUGAAAAAGAUCUUUCUGCUCCAAAAGAAAUCUAAAACAUACUUAUAUAAAUAAAUUUUUAUUGACAAUUUAUGUAAUUCAUAAUAAUAUAAUAUAUAGAUUUGUGUCCUACAUUUUAAAGAUUAUACGUAUCUUCUUCUGAAUCUAGAUCAUUUUAGUGUCUUUUCUUUUUAGGAAAAUUCCAAAACUAUUUUUUUAUGGGAUAUGGAAGACGCAAAACUUGGAAGACCCUUAUCACUAUUUACUACAUAGGUUCCAUUGCUAAUAAAACUUUGUUUAUAUGUCCAAAAUUAAAACAAACACUUUUUUGUCAGUUUUAUAAACAUCAUGUAAACUUUCCUUAUUCGUUUAGAUUAAUAUUGUGAUGUGGAAAUAAAGAAUUAUAAAUAUAUUAUUAAAAUCUAAAAUUAUUAUAUUUCUUACUUAUUAAAGGAACUUUAAAAGACAUCUAAAAGGAAACAUUUCAAAUAAAAAUAAUAUAUAUACUGUAUAAUUAGCUCCUUUCAUUAUUUAAUUUUUAUAACAAAAAUAUACUGUUUCACCUUGAGCAUAGUUUUUAAAAAAAAAUUCAGAAUAAAAAAAAACUAUACAUUCAAGACACUGUCAAUCGAAUAAACACUACUCCAAAUGGCAUCGAGGUUCUUGAAAAACUGUAAGAAAUCGCAUUCACUAUAAUAAAGAUACAGAAACAAAAUAAAGAUUGAACGUAAUUAAUCAAAUACUUCCUUAUAUUUCUUUAACAAAUUAAUUGAAAAUAAUAAAUUAGUCAAUAAUUUAUAGUAUUGUUUUAAUAAUUGAGUAAUAUUAUUAAUUACCAAAUUUAUCUUUCUUAUUAAUAAUUUAAAAUACUUUUGUUCUUUAUUAAUAAAAAUAAAUAUUUCAUAAAAAUUAUUAAAUAUCUCAUUAAUUUUGUCUUAACUAUUAUAAAAAAAUGCUCUUUGUAUCUUUAUAUUUAAAGAAAAUAAAAGCAAAUAAUAAUGAUGGUUUGAAUAAUUUACGAUAGUCUGGUUAUUGAAAAGUGUAAAUGAUUUGAAAAAUUAGGAAAUAAUAAAUUAGAACAUAAUAACACGUGUCACAUGAUCAAAAUGAAUGAGCCGAUUCCACCGAUAAUUCUACAUUCGACCUGAGAGGAACGCAGCCUGGUCUAACAUCAUCAUCAAACCUCGAAAAAAUAGAAAAGAAAAGCACAGCACAAAUACUGAGUCACGCACACAACGUUGUUAGAGAGUGGAGAUUGUGUUGUGGUCUCUAUGGCGAGUAACAGAGAGAGAGAAGAGUCUCUGACAUUCACAAUCCCUUCUUCCUCUUCCCAUUCUUCCCCCAUCACCGUCUCCGACCAACUCGACAGCUACCUCGCCGACCCCAGAAGCGCUUCCGGAAGCUUCCAGAACGACGGCCUUCUCUCCUCCGCCGACGCCGCUUCCGAUCCCGAUUUUGGAUUCUCCCGCUCCGAUUUCCGCCAGAGUCCUCUCUCCGGCACCGUGGAGCUCUACCAACGCCAUGUCUUCCUCUGCUAUAAGAACCCUCGCGUUUGGCCACCGCGCAUAGAAGCCGCCGAGUUCGAUCGCUUGCCGAGGCUGCUUCACGCCGCCGUUGUUGCGAGGAAGACUCACAUGAAAAAGGAGGUACCGUCUUCUCUCGCUCCCCUUUUGAUUUUUGUCUCUAUGAUGUUCGAGGUAUCACUAUUAGACGCGUGAUCUUCAACAAUUGUUACGCCACGUUUUUCGGCUUUGCAUUUGUCAAGCGCUGAUUACAUUGUGUUGGACUUAUGAGUUGUCUCUUUGCCAGACUCGGUUAACGAUUUGUGAGGGUCAUGAUGGAACUGAGACAUCCAAUGGGGAUGUGUUGAUCUUUCCUGACAUGGUCAGAUACAGGUUUGUACUAUUGAUCUUAUUUGUUUUUUUUUUUUUCAAUUGCUUUUCCCUUUCUUAGAUCAUUGUGGACAACAGGUUUUGAUGGAAUUGCAGGAGGUUAACGCAUUUUGAUGUUGAAACCUUUGUUGAAGAGGUUCUUGUGAAGGAUGGGGAAUGGCUUCCUGGAACUCCUGAGGCAUUGAGAGGUUCGUUUGUGUUUGUGUGUUCACAUGGAUCCCGUGAUCGCAGAUGUGGGGUUUGUGGACCUGUCUUGGUCAGUAGAUUCAGGGAGGAGAUAGAGUUACAUGGUCUUCAGGGUAAAGUGUUUGUAAGCCCGUGUUCUCACAUUGGGGGAAGUCAGUAUGCUGGAAACGUCAUUGUCUUUGGACCUAGCAUGAAUGGAGAAGUCACUGGCCACUGGUAAGGAGAACACCUCCAUGGUUAUCAAAAACUAUUUUUUCUUACAAUUUUUUAUUUUACUGUUCUUGUUAGACCUUUGUACCAUUGGUUGUUAUAUUUUGUUAUUUAACUGGUGAAUGUUUUCCUCAAUUGAAAUAUGUAGGUAUGGAUAUGUUACCCCGGAUGAUGUGCCUUUUUUGCUUCAGCAUCAUAUCAUAAAAGGGGAGGUCUUAGAUUCAUUAUGGAGGUAAUUGUUUCCUUAGUGCUCUAUUUAUUUUCUUUACUAUUUUGGCUAAAAGUUAGAUUUCAUCCUAUAAAAGGCUAAAUUGCUAGACUAUCUUUUUUUUUUCUCCCAUACUGGGUUUUGGCCUUUUGGGUGUCUUUGGCAGCAAGGAAAAAUGUUAGUCAGAAAUAGAGUGGAUGAUUCUCAUCUCUAAUCUGUUUCUUCUCUUCCUCCUCUUCCCUAUAUUUUCACACGACCAAUCAGAAUUAGGGGGCAGUGCCUGAGCCUGUGAGAAAAUAAUUUUCUGAAGCUUAUUAUCAUUGCAAGUCAAGAUAUCUACAAGAUAUUUUUGACACCUUCAGGAAUCAGGAUUUCUAAAUUCUUCAUACAAAAUUUGACGUCAAAUAAGGUAGGUCUUUGUUUUUUCAAAAAUGAUCUUUUUGCUCCCAAUAUCUAUAAGCCCUGUUUACCAUCAAUGAUUUAAUCGCAUUUGAAUCUUGGAGUAAUAAUACCUUCUUGGUUUAUGUAUUUUGAGAUUGAAAUUAUGGUUUGACAAGAAGUGCCAUCUUCGUGCCAAUGUCGGAUGGUAUGACAGCUUUUCUGUGAUACCAUCCGACAUGCCAGUUCUGUUAUUUAUUUACAAACUAAAAUCUUAGAGCAUGUUUUCAAUUCCAAGGACUUCAAAAUUGAGCAGCUACAAAAUGAAGUACAUAUGAUGGAUCACUCCUACAGUAAUUUCAUUCCCUUCUCAAUCUCCAAACUUUCCGAAACCAUGGCUUCACCCAUAGCUUUUCAAUUACAUCUCCUUAUGCCCCCUUCUUUGUAAUGAAAAUUUGAUGAGACAGGUGGUGUAUAGAAAAUAGCCUGCUGAAAUUAUUACAUGGUUGAAGAUAAUAAUAUGUAUCAGGCUGAUGGUUAUGAAAAAUUUGUUGCAUAGGUCCAUGAUGUAUAUGCGGACUUGUAUUUCUUACAUUUUUUUAUAUUGUCAUCAGGGGUCAGAUGGGUUUCUCAGUAGACGAACAGCUGAAAAAGCAAGAACAAAGGCUUCUUCUGAAUGAUAUUACAUCUCAAGACAAUUUUGUGAGCUGCUGCCAGUCAACUGCUAGCUACUGCCAGUCAACUGCUAGCUGUUGCCAAUCAAAUGCUAGCUGCUGCCAGUCAAAUGGAGACUCUUCUAUCCAUCAGAAUCGAUUUUUAGUGGAAAAGAGAAUGGACCCGGAUAUCAUUGAGGCAGAGGCAAAGCUCUCAGCUGAUAAUGAGAACAACGAGUCUGUGUUUUCUCGGAUCAAUAGUUCCAAAGGAGCUUCGCGCAAGUUUCCUUCCGUGACAACUUGGCUCGAUGGCUGGGAGCAAGAAGAUACAUAUGCAGCUCUUGCUGUUGUAUGUGCUGCUGUGUCAGUUGCCAUUGCCUACAACUGCUACAAGCAAUUUCAAUAAAAGUAUUCAACUUUGGCAGCGUUAUUAAGUGGUUCAGAUAACUUAAGUUUCAUGUCUGAUACUAGUGCAGUUCUUCUUUAGAGCAGUCAUAGUUACUAAACAUAUAGGGAAACGAGCAGGAGCUCAAUGUUUAAUCUGGAUGUGUGUGCUUUAGUGCUUGCACUGUAUUGGCUGGGUCACUUUUAAUUGCUAGUUAGCUUAUUUUGUACAUACAAAAAACCUUAGCCUCAGAAUAUGCAAAUUUAAUAUUUCAACAGUUUGUUUAGGUAGAAUUUGAUUUGUGGUCUUUUUCAAUUUUAUGAAAAGUUUAGGUGUUCCUUGGACUUGCUAGUUAAUCCUAGAAUUGUUUGCCACAUAGGUGACAAUAGUGUCUUGCCUGAACUCUUAAGGUGAAACACUUCAUUCAGAAUUCUCCGUCAACUCGAUAUUACACGCAAUAAGUGAAUAUAUGGCCACUGCAAAGAACAAGAAUUAUAACUCUUAUUCAAAAUGGACCAUGUAGCUCUCAACAACUGAGCAUAAUAUGGAUUCUCCUGGUUCAACUGACCAAGAUGCAGACAAGAACUGCAAGGUCUUUCCAUCAGUUGGUGAAGCCAUUCUGAAUUUCCAGUUUGUGGAACUCGGUUUCUAUAGUCUUGGCAAUUUUGGCAUCAACCAGGUCUGGCUCCGGUAAAUCUACAUGGAAAGAAUCCUGGGAUAUGGACUCUAUGAACAUAGCCUGCUGCUCGAUGUAAUUAUAUAGUUGUUUAUGGAAGACAUGAUCAAAGGAGAAACAAUUUUCAGUAUUUCCUGCUGCAUCAUCUCGGAGCACCCUGGAAUCCUUCUUUCUGCAAAAAUGUGGGAGGGAUGCAUAGUCCAUUACCUGUUUACAAGUUUUGAAAACAUGGUUUAGUGUUGAAGCCCUCGCAGUUGCAACAAAUCUUGUUAUAAUGGAAGAAAUUCAAUUUGGCAGUGCUAUUUUUCAAGUCUCUAUGUCAGGUUAAUUAUUAGCAAGCAUAGAUUUAAGAUGAACAUAUAUGGAAGCUCCAUAUUUAUUCCAAACUGAUCUAUCCAUUGGUAAAGAAAAAUCCACAACAUUUACUUCUUAUGACUAAAAAAACUAGAGAAAAUUAAAACUUAAACAUCUGCAUUAUGGAAAGGCAAUUUCACAGUACUGAAUUGGAAAUUGGCAAACAAAAUCCAUAAGCAUUGUAUUAUUUAAUAUGACUUUAUCUGUCAAUAGAACAAAGAGGAAAACUCGUAUUAGGUGUAUUUAUGAGGGAUCAAGCAAAUAGUUUAUGGUAAUGCUAUUGUUUACCUUCAGUAAUUCUUCUGUGCCACAACCUUUGAGUACAUGGACUUUCUUCCUUGUUCUUUCUUGCAAAAGAGGCUUUACAACCUUCCAAUUGUCAAUGAAGCAAAGAAGAGCUCAGCUUUCAAAGAUCAGAAUGAAAUUAAAGUGAAAAGUGCACUCUCCUUCAACAUGAAACACUGGCACAAACCUUCCAACACGCUGAGAAUACAUAUGGAACGUUAACUAUGUAAUAUGCUUCAGUCUUUUCUGGAUAGUUCAAGUCAUCUAUUGUAGUUAUAGCAGUCAAAAGCUGAAGAUGGCCAAGAAAGUGUCAACUAGGAAAGCAUCUAGUGGCAUGAACAGUGAGAAAAGAAACUUCUGAGAGAUAGUAAAUAAGAAGUUUGUAAAUUGCUGUCUACCUUCAAUUGGUUCAAAGCUGAGAGUUUUAAACCAGUCAUAUCCAAGACUUUCACACAAGUGUUAAUGUGUCGUCCAUGAUUCUUUGUAGCUCUUGGCUGCAAUAAAAAUUCCAAAUAAACAUUAGGGUGUCAGAAUUUAUCAGGGACCAAAAAACUCUAGUCUAGGUACUCACCAUGGUCACUCGAUCCCUAUAUUCAUUCAUUUGGAUGUGCAACUGUACAUAGUAUUUGUCCUGAACAAAACAAAACAACUGACAAUUUGACAUCAUGGAAAAUAAAAUAGUCCACAUGCUACAUUAAGGAGAACAAACAGAUAAGCAGCAUUGAACACUGCAGCACCAAUGUAUCAUAAAGUACUGGUAAGAUGGGUUAGAGAUGGAGUGAAGUCCUUACAAACACUUCAUCAAAUGUGCUAAGCCCAACACCAAUAACAAUGACAGGUAAGCCCUGCCAAAAACAAAAUUAGCAAUUAUGAAUGUCACUUUAUAUAAGAGAUGUGUUGGGAAAAUGAGAACAAAUUCUCCCUCUUUGUGUAAAUACAAAAUGGGCACUUACGGAAGCAAUAAGCAUAUAAUAGAAAAUAGAGCAAAAGAGAAAAUGACACCGAAAAUUUUUAAAUGGGAAAACUUCCUCAACUUGAGGAUAACACUUAAUCUCACCCAAGAAGGAUAGAAUACAAAGCUCUCUAACAUCUUACUAGGAUUUCUAAUCUCACAUUAUUGGUGGAUAUCUAUUCUCUCAUUUCUCUCUAUGUUGCUCUUCUUCCUUACUUGUCUUUCUCUUCCUUACAAGUUCACUUUAUAUAGAGAAUGAGAGGAGACUUAUCACAUAAAGAGAUAGUGGUUAAUUAAAGCUUAUCACAUUUUUAAGAGAGAUACAAUUUCAAGACUUUUAGAAUGUCUAUCAUUGAAUGAAUAUAUUCAAUGGAUCAGUUAUCAAGAUUCAUUGGUCAUGGUCCCAUUAAAAUAAGGAGAGAUUCCCAACAAGAUGCUAUGUCCUUGAUAAAUGCUUAUAGUGUCUUACAUAAAGCUGUUAUUCUUACACAUCACUCAUAUUGGUUAAUGGCAGAGAAUUGGCAGAGAAUAACCAUAAGGGGUGGAGGAAAACAAACAAAUUUAGCCCUGAGAUCAAAAGUUGUACGAGGUCUAUCAAAAGCACAGAAUACCUCCUUUGUGAAACCAGACAUUCCCACAAGUUGAGUAUCUCGCAAACUUCUGUACAAACCAGGUGGUAUAGGCUUCUGCUUACAAAUACAAGAAAAAAAUAUACAUUUAUGAUCAUGAAUUCACAAUGAUCGAGAAAUAUAGUAGCUGUCCAUUUUAUGCUACAACUGUGAUAUGAUGUAGGGAUUUGAAUAAGAAUAGGAAAAUAUCUCAAUAACUACAGAGACCAUGUAAAUUUCACUCUAGAUGGUAGUGAUAACAUGCAUUCUUAUAUACAUUCGUGCCACUCUUAAAUGCUUAACUUUAAUUGGUAUUUAAGAUGUGUUGUUCCAAAGUCAAUAAUAUUAUUACAUUGCUAAUAUGUACAGUGAAGGAACUCACCGCUAAAACAUUGUCAAUGUCAUUUUCUAGUCUCCAUUGUAAGCAAUCAAUCAACUAUUAUAGUUAAACUGUCAGCAAAGUGUUAUAUCCAAAAGAUAGAAUCAAGAGAAUAACUCUAUAUUGGCACCAAUAAAAAUCUUUUACUGCAAACUUUCUAACCAUUUUAUGUGCUUUGACAACAUUCCCGUCCCUUGCUUUGAGAAACCGCACUAAAGUUUCUGUUGCAUAGCCCUGGUGCAUAUUCUGAAAUACAAAGAGAAAGCUUUCAUGAAAGAAAAUAAAAGGAAACUAAGAACAUUCAUAUGAUCACCUCAUUUGUAAAUCAAACAAAAUGUAUUUUGCAAAUAUUUUCGAACACCUCCUGUUAUCACAGUGUUCACAUCACAGCUUUACUUUAGUGAAGAAUUGUUGGCAGCAUCUAGGUACUGAUAAUCAAGAUCAAUUUAGCAGCGAAGUUUUAUUCUUUUGGUUCAGAACUCCCGCCCCAGAUGAAACUUUUUAAUAUAUAAAACACGGUUUCUCAACACCUAAGACCAAGUAAAACAAGGAGACAGAAAAGCCAGACCUGGAAUGUGUUCUUCUGUUUCUCAUCCACUACAUCAAGAGAGAAAUAAAUAUAUAUUAAAAAAACAGUAGAAGAUAUUUGACAGAAAAAAAUCAGCUGAGAUCCUAGAAAAGCAGAAAAGUGCAAGUUAAAUGCUUACUUACAGUUUUCCAUAAGGGAUUCCAACUGCUUGAUAACUUCCUGGGUAGUAAUACACAUGUUGCUGGUUUUAUCUGAUAACACGAUAGAAACUCUGAAACUAACUGGCUGAGAAGUUUUAAGGAAAACCAGUGACUGGGUUUUGGAAACUGGAAUAAUGAUAUUUUAAACUUCUGUAAGAAAAAGUAGAGGUAAUGAGCUGAUGUAAGAAAAUGACAGAUGAUACCAAAAUGACAAGUUUUUCCGUGUUAAGGAUCGAUGCCUUGAUAAUUCAGAAUUAUGUAGUUCACUUGUUUAAAAGGGGAGAUUCACCUCACUUCAAUAUUUCAUAUGGUGUGGCUGCCAUAGAACAACAUCAGAAUAUGUACCAUCAAGGUUUCACCUGUAUUACCUGUAUUGCACAUAGACCGUCACACACACUUUGAUCCGCAUAAUCUUCAAAAUUAGAACAUGGAACACAGAUUUAUAUAUUAUAUAAUUAUGAAUUAUAUAUGUUAACAAUAAAAAUUUAUGUAUGUCUUAGUUUUUUUAUUACAGAAAGAUAUUUUUUUUACAGUUGGUUCAAAAUGAUUUGUUUCUUAUUUUUAUGAUUAUAAUAAAAAAAAUUAUAAAUAAUUUUAAGUUUUUAGAAAAUUAAUGUAUUUGUCCUUUUUAAAUUUGUGUUAAAAUCAUGUUAGAAUUAUCUUGAAACAGUGUUAGAAUGGUCAGAUAUCCAAUAAAUAUUUUUUUGAAUUUGACAUAUCUAAUACGUGUGUACGAGACAAACACAUCAUUUAUGACACGUGUCCUAAUAUCGUUUCACACACCAACACACAUUUAUUAAUGUUUAUGUUUCAAAACAUCCAAUAGAAACACUGACAAAUUAGAAAGAGAAAGUGCAUGUAACAGUUCUAUUGAAUUCACCAUAAAGUUUAUAAUAAUUUAACUUCCAACGGUUUUGCUUAAUUGGGACCUUGUCUAUUUUUACUAUUACCACACAUUGUUUUCAACCUAGAGUUCAAUUCUGUAUUUAUCAAUUUGCAACACUGUCACGUCAAAUGUUUACUACAUUUGUUGAGAUGUCUCUUAUUAUUUUAUUAUGCCAUGUUUUAAAAUAUUCAUACCCUUCAUUUUUUUUAUCAUACCUCAAACAAAAUUUACUGAGGUAGUAAAAUCCAAUUUUUGAAACUCACAGAUAUAGAGAUCAAACUGUGAUAAAAUAUGUUUAAGAAACAAUGUUAUUUAAGUCACACUAAGUUAGAGUUUUCAAACUGUUAACUAUCAAUAUAUAAGAAAAAAAAAACUCUUAAUUAUCAUAAACAGAAUUUUUCAAUAAAAUUGCUUUGGGUGUUCAGGUUAGAGAAGACACAGGGGACAACCUUAUAUGUGAUGAACACAGGAAUUUGUAUUUGAGAAAACAUGUGAAUGAACAAAAAGUAUUCAAAUCAAAGCUCUAAGGAGAAUCUAUUCUUAUUCUAAAAAAGAAAAAAAGGGGAAUCUAUUCUCAGUUUCUCGCUCAAUCUUUAGUAUUUAUGCUUUUAAUGUUCACGUUUUCUUAUAUUUCUUUUUAUAUUUUCUCUCUUCUUCAUCUAUCUUUUUCCUUUUUCUGAUUCAUUAUUCAUUAAAACUCACGCUUUAUUUUUAUUUCUUUAUCUUUCUUUCAUAGCAACAAAUAUCAUAACGAUCAGCUUUUAGCAGAUUAACAUGCAAGGUAUCGUAUUAUACAGUUAAAAAUAUGUGAACAUACAUGCAAAAAGUACAAAUUUGGUGAGUGCGUUAAGAAUAUUCAUCAGGAAUUAAUUUAUUAUAUUCGCUACAAUGUAAAAGUAUCUGAUGCGGAACGUUCAAUAAUUUUUCUAUGAUCAGAAAGUAGAAAUUACUAUAAUCAUCUAUGGAUUUCAUACAUCACUGGAGAUUCAACGAAUACUGAAGCUUCAUUUGACUACAAGGCUAAUUAGUUACAUGUAUGUAACACAGAAUGUCCAAAUAAUCAGAAUAUUAGACAGUAAAAUACCCCUUGAUAGCUUCCAGAACUCGGUUUGCUACUUCUGGACCAAACAACCUGGGGAAGCUUGAACCAAGAUCAAUCUCAAUUGUCUUGUUUCUAAUUAGACCAUCCCUUUUAUUCAGAUAAGCUCUUUCUGCCUCUCCAACAUCUCGCUUGGCACAAGCACAAUGAUCCAACCAGAUCCCCAACACUUGCUUUGAAAUGGGGUCCAAAUGGUCCCUGAUGAUCUCCUCCAUGCGUUCUACUCCACCAUUUUCAGUCACAAUGCGAAUCAUUAUGGCUGUGGGGGAGGAAACAGUGCGGAUGUAAAGGGAAGAAGAGAAAUAUGGUUGAACCUCUGGAACUCUUUCCAGAGCCUGCCUAUGAGUGUCCAAUUGAGUGUCCUCAUAGAAAGUUUUGAGGUCUUCUGGCCAAAGCACAAGGUCUUUCCGGGGAGGCAAAUCAAGAAUCAGAACUAGCAUUGUUGGACUACUGCGGAUCAUUUCAAACACAAAAUUUGGUGCAUCAGUUGAGCUCUUAAGAUAGGCUGAGAGACUUGUUAUAUCUAAGGACCCUCCUGUUGGUAACUCAGAUUGCACCCAGCUUCCCAGCACAAAAUCUACCUGUCACAAACACAAAUGAGAACAAAACAAGUGCCAUCAUUUUUCUUCCUCACAAAGCCAAGAUUCACAACGAGGAAAGACAGUCUUUCUGGAAUAAUGUUAGCACCACACUCUUUGUAAUUGGUUGAAAAUUAUUACAAAAAACACGAAUUUUAGUGGGUUUGACCCCUGAUUUAAUAAUUGUCUCCUUAUUUUGUAAUUUUUCAGUAUAAAUUUCAAUCAACAAAGAAGAGUACACGAAGGAAUGUGAUAAAGAAUAUGCUGCUUUUGUUUACCAUCACAUAUUUCACUAUCUCUCUUUCUUUUCUUUUCUUUUUCUUUUCACCUUUUCUUCCCUCAGCUAUCUACCCCAAAACUUAGGUGUAGGCUUAUCCUUUUCCGUUUUUUAUGUAGUAAUUAGAUUGCAUCCUUGUCUACUUGCAAACUACUCAAAAACUUGGUAAUGUUUACCCUUUUUCAUUGCAAUUCAAAUUGUAAGUACACUACAGGUAAAUCACCAAUCAAGUCUAAACACUAUUACUAAUUACCUUCUCUCCUAUCCUUAACAUAACAUAACAAAAUUAAUAUGAAUAGUCUAUAAGGUAUUAGUAUCCAUCAACAUAAAAAAAAAAAUAAUUGAGUAUCUAUCAAGAAGCACUUUUCAAUAAUUGAUAAAUCCUCGGUAUAUUUUCAAUGAUUGAGGGAUUGUUUAUAUAAUUGACGUACUAUGGAGAGACAGUAACAGUUUGGGGAUGAAUUUGAUUGAUGGUUUAUUCAUUGAAGCACAGAAAAGGACAAAAUUUAAAAAUACUAGAUUGCCCAUUUGCUUCAUUAUAUGGUAGUAGAUUGAGUACCUAAUUCUCAACCCAAUACCCUAAUCUCUUUCUAAUGCCAAUACUUGCUUAAAAAUCCAUCAACCACUAAAAAAUAAGUUAAAACGAAAUUGGGAAGAAAAAUAAAGACAAGAGGAAAAAAAAAGGAAAACUUUGUAUUGAAAUUGAGGAAGUUGAGAAGGAAAAAUUUACCUGAGAGUCGUCACUGCCUGAUCUGAUAUGAAGGGAAGCUUGGGCAGUGGCAGUUUGGCUUUGGUAAUACUGAACAUCAGGGGGAAGCGUGCAAGGAAGAAGCUGAGAGUGAAGGCGAUUCUCAAGCCUCGAAACGAGAUCGACCAUGACAUUCUUCUGGGCAGAUGAAACGAAGGGAAAGUCGAUGAAUUUGGAGCGGCCAUGGUCAUGGGUCUGGUGGGUCCCCUCCAUGCGAGAGGAACAGAGAGAUGAAGAAGAAGAAGAAGGUUUAAGCCUGAAAGAAGGAGAAGAAGAAGGUAGAGAGAGAUUGUAACGUGUUGAAGGAGAAAAAGAAGAUAAGAUGGAGAGUGGUGAACACCGGAAAUGGUCACAGAUCAUCACUUCCAUCACCUACCUUCUGUAACUCUUAUUCCUCAACACUGUUUUACUGUUUUAUUCUCUCCAUCACCUUUUUCAUUCCUUCACACCAUUUUGUUUUCUCACGCUAUAUCUAACUUUGUUGGAUAUUUUUAAAUCACAAUUUUGAUUUUAUUCAAUUUUUGUUUCCAGUGUUGUUGUCUUUUUCUGCGAUAUUAGAUUUGUAUCUUGAAAAAAAAAUUAAAAAUGUUUUUAAAUACGUUUUGAUUUAUAUAAAAAAAAAAUCUUUAUUCUUCAUCUAUAAAUCUAAAAUUAUCACUUUUAGUCUCAGAUUUUUUUUUCCAGCUCUUCUUCUUCUUCUGCAGUGAUAAUGGUUCAGAACUGGCGGCAGCGAAAGUGAAGGAGAAGUGGACAAGACAAUUUGGGUAUUUCACCUAAUUGUGAGUGUGCAGGUUAAAAAGAGGGGAGUGGAGGAAGUACUUACCAUCGUUGUGUUCUGAGCUCGUAUUUUUUCUCUCAAACGUAAGUAGUUUCCCCUACAUUUUUCUUCCUGCACCCUCAUAAUGUUAUGUAAAGAUCAAAUUGUCCCUAUUAUUCUUUAAAAACCCUAAAAUGCACUUGAAUUAUAUUUAUUUUUUGCAUUAUGGAUUAUGGAAUCCGGAAAAAUUUCGGAUUGGUAUUUCUGGUAAAAUUUUGGAUCCACCAAUCCGUAAUUCAAAAUAUGCAUCAUUCAAAAAAAGCAUUCUGGAUCUACCAAUCCGUAACAGAAAUAUGCAUUCCAAAUUCAAAAAUCCAUAAUUUAAGAAAAAUGCAUUCUGGAUCCAUGAAUCCGUAAUAGAAUUAAACUUCCAGAUUCAACAAUUCAGAAAUCAAUAAUUUAUGCAAAAAUUGUUUCCAAAACACCCCCUCAUACGGAAAAACAAAAUAUUCAGUUCCGAAUUGCUGAAUCCAUAGCACACGUAAAGAUUUCUAUUUCCGGUAACCACGGUCUCCUUUUUCAAAUAAAAUAUUAAGGCCAAUUUCGGGAUUUAGAAAAUUGUGGGGUGCAGGAAGAAAAAUGUAGGGGUGCAGGAAGAAGAAGCCCAAACGUAAUGUUCUACAUUAGGCCCAACAAACGUGAUGUUCAACAUUAGAUCCAACGUAAAUGUGUUUAGGGUAUUUCUUCCUACACUCCUACUUUUUUCGUAUUAUACAGUAAAAAAAAAAUGUGUGAACAUACAUGGAAAUAGUACAAAUUUGGUGAGUGCGUUAAGAAUAUUCAUCAGGAAUUAAUUUAUUAUAUUCGCUACAAUGUAUAAGUAUCUUAUGCGGAACGUUCAAUAAUUGUUUAAAAUUUUAUCCAUUUUGAUAAAAUUAACAUGUAAAAUUGUCCUAAUUUGGUUAAAAAAAACCUCUAAGAGUAGAUCAUAGAGAAGCCAAUACAACAUUUCCCAGUUUAAAAAUUUGCUUCUAGUUCAGGAAGUUAUGCGUGGGGUUUUCUAACUCAAGUCCUACAAAGUGCUUGAAAUGGAAGCACAUGGAAUGAUUUCAAUGGAGGCUUAGAAAAGUGUCAUUGUCAUAUGAAUCAUCCCUAGCAAAGAAAAGAAGGAGGCAGAUAAAGCAGAAAGUGUAAACUACUAUAAUCAUUUAUAUAAUGGAUUUCAUACAUCACUGGAGAUUCAACGAAUACUGAAGCCUACAAAUAUCCAACAAUUCCAAAUAAAUAGAAUCUUAGACAGUAAAAUACCCCUUGAUAACUUGCAGUACUCGGUUUGCUACUUCUGGACCAAACAUCCUGGGGAAGCUUGAACCAAGAUCAAUCUCAAUUGUCUUGUUUCUAAUUAGACCAUCCCUUUUAUUCAGAUAAGCUCUUUCUGCCUCUCCAACAUCUCGCUUGGCACAAGCACAAUGAUCCAACCAGAUCCCCAACACUUGCUUUGAAAUGGGGUCCAAAUGGUCCCUGAUGAUCUCCUCCAUGCGUUCUACUCCACCAUUUUCAGUCACAAUGCGAACCAGUAUGGCCGUAGGGGAGAAAACAGUGCGGAGGCAAAGGGAAGGAGAGAAAUAUGGUUGAACCUCUGGAACUCUUUCCAGAGCCUGCCUAUGAGUGUCCAAUUCAGUGUCCUCGUAGAAAGUUUUGAGGUCAUCUGGCCAAAGCACAAGGUCUUUCCGGGGAGGAAAAUCAAGAAUCAGAACUAGCAUAGUUGGACUCCUGCGGAUCAUUUCAAAGACAAAAUUUGGUGCAUCAGUUGAGCUCUUAAGAUAGGCUGAAAGACUUGUUAUAUCUAAGGACCCUCCUGUUGGUAACUCAGAGUGCACCCAGCUUCCCAGUACAAAAUCUACCUGUCACCAACACAAAAAUGAGGACUAAAUUCAGAACAAAAAACACACUUUUUCACAACGAGGAAAGACAGUCUUUCUGGAAUAAUGUUAGCACCACACUCUUUGUAAUUGGUUGACACUAAUUUUAGUGGGUUUGACCCCUGAUUUAAUAAUUGUCUCCUGAUUUUGUAAUUUUUCAGUGUAAAUUUCAGUCAACAAGGAAGAGUUUACGAAAGAGUGUGCUAAAGAAUAUGCUUCUUUUGUUUCCCAUCAUAUCAUUGAUCACAUAUUUCACUAUCUCUCUUCCUUUUCUUUUCUUUUUCUUUUCACCUUUUCUUCCCUCAGCUAUCUACCCCAAAACUUAGGUGUAGGCUUAUCCUUUUCCGUUUUUUAUGUAGUAAUGAGAUUGCAUCCUUGUCUACUUGCAAACUACUCAAAAACUUGGUAAUGUUUACCCUUUUUCAUUGCAAUUCAAAUUGUAAGUACACUACAGGUAAAUCACCAAUCAAGUCUAAACACUAUUACUAAUUACCUUCUCUUCUAUCCUUAACAUAAUAUAACAAAAUUAAUAUGAAUAGUCUAUAAGGUAUUCCUAUCCAUCAACAUAAAAAAAAAAUUGAGUUGUAAGAAAUUAUGUAAAUUGAUUUCUAUAAAGAGACUCACAUGAUCAAGGAAGCAUCAACCACUAGACCAAACAAGUUCUUUGAUUAUAUUACCAUUUUUAUUAUACAUAUUAUUAUUAAUACAAUUUAUACAUAUUAUUAUUAAUACAAUUUAUACUUAUUAUUAUUAAUAUAACUUAUACAUAUUAUUAUUAAUAUAAUUUAUACUUAUUAUUAUUAAUAUAAUUUGUACAUAUUAUUAUUAAUAUAAUUUGUACAUAUUAUUAAUAUAAUUUAUACAUAUUAUUAUUAAUAUAAUUUAAAUUUAUUAUUAUUAAUAUAAUUUAUAAAUAUUAUUAUUAAUAUAAUUUAAACUUAUUAUUAUUAAUAUAAUUUAUACAAUUUAUAAUAAUAAUAAUAUAAAUUAUAUUCAUAUUAUUAAUAAUAUUAAUAAUAUUUUUAAUAAUAUUAUAUUCAUAUUAUUAAUGUUAUAUUUCAUAUUAUUAUUAUAUUCAUAUUAUUAAUAUUAUAUUCAUAUUAUUAAUAUUAUUAGUAUUAUUAGUAUUAUUAAUAUUAUUAGUAUUAUUAGUAUUAUUAAUAUUAUUAGUAUUAUUAGUAUUAUUAAUAUUAUUAAUAUCAUUAAUAUUAUUAAAAUUAAUUAAUAUUAUUAAUAUCAUUAAUAUUAUUAAAAUUAAUUAAUAUUAUUAAUAUCAUUAAUAUUAUUAAUAUUAUUAGUAUUAUUAUUUAUAAUAAGUAUAAUAAAAAUCAUAAUAAUACAAAAGAAGUUGACUGUUGUAUUGGUUAAAUUUUUUCUAGUUACUUUUGUUUUAUGGUGCCAAAGUUACAUACGAAUUUUGAUUCGUAUGUAAUAAUCCGUAUAUAAUUCGCGUUUUUCUUGUAGUGGAUGAGCUUAAAUCAAUGGCACAUAAUGAUGUAUGGGACCUUAUAGAAUUGCCAGAAGGAUGCAAGAGAGUCGGGUGUAAAUGGGUCCGCCUUGUUGCCAAAAGUUUUACUCAAAAUGAUGGCAUUGAUUAUAAGGAAACACUUUCACCUGUUUCUAAGAAAGAUUUCUUUAGAAUUAUCAUGACGUUAGUAGCUCAUUAUGAUCUUGAGUUGCAUCAAAUGGAUGUCAAAACUGCCUUUCUGAAUGGGGAUUUAAAAGAGGAUGUUUAUAUGGACCAACCAGUGGGGUUCAUUGAAGAAGGAAAGGAACACAUGGUGUGUAAACUUAAGAAAUCAAUAUACGGGCUUAAACAGGCUUCUAGGCAAUGGUAUCUUAAGUUCAAUGAUACUAUUGUGUCCUUUGGAUUUAAGGAAAACAUCGUUGAUCGGUGAAGCAUACUAUGUGAUAGGAAUUGAAAUAUUCAGUGACAGAUCACAAGGACUGUUAGGUUUGUCUCAGAAAGCAUAUAUUAAUAAAGUUUUAGAGAGAUUCAGAAUGGAUAAAUGUUCGACAUCUCCUGUUCCAAUACAGAAAGGAGACUAAUUUAGUCACACGCAAUGUCCAAAGAAUGAUUUGGAACGAAAACAGAUGGAGAAUAUACCUUAUGCAUCUAUUGUUGGGAGUUUAAUGUAUGCUCAAACUUGUACACGGCCAGAUAUUAGUUUUGCAAUUGGUAUGCUUGGAAGAUACUAGAGUAAUCCAGGAUUGGAUCAUUGGAAAGCUGCAAAGAAAGUUUUAAGAUACUUGCAAGGAACGAAGGAUCACAUGCUUACUUAUAAAAGAUCUGGUCAUCUUGAGGUGAUUGGAUAUACAGAUUCAGAUUUUGCUGGUUGUGUGGAUACACGAAAGUCUACUUUUGGUUAUGUGUAUCUUUUAGCCGGAGGAGCGAUUUCAUGGAAAAGUGUGAAACAUUGUUGCAUCCACCAUGGAGGCUAAAUUUGUGGCAUGCUUUGAUGCCACAGUUCAGGCUAAUUGGUUGCGGAAUUUUGUUUCAGGACUUGGAAUUGUUGACAGUAUUGCCAAGCCGCUGAGAAUUUAUUGUGAUAACUCCGCAGUUGUCUUCUUUUCUAAAACGACAAGUAUUCCAAAGGUGUUAAACAUAUGGAAUUGAAAUAUUUUGCCGUUAAAGAAGUUCAGAAACAUAGAGUGUCAAUAAAACGUAUUAGAACUGAUCUUAUGAUUGCUAACCCUUUAACAAAAGGGUUACCGUCCAAAACAUUUACUGGUCAUGUUGUAAAUAUGGACAUUAUGUCUACUAGUGAAUGAUGAAUGUUGUUAUUAAUUCUUAUUUGACACUCUGAACUCAUUGAAUAAAUAAAGUUUCUGAAAUUUAUGUUUUCUACUUUAUGUAUAUGCAUGUAAAUCAUGCUGUGGAAAACAAAUUAUGUUGUUAUUGAUGAAAAUGACAUUAUGUUUGAACCUAUUAUGGAUUUCUCAUUAUAAAGUCAUAUUAAGGAGAAAGGAUGAUAUAGUAGUACAUGGAAGGAAAUGUGUCGAUUGAAAUGACAUGUAACAUGACUCUUAUUAUAUCUGUAUCCUUGAUUUUGAUUAAUGAUAGAACCAAUUUAUGUAAGACAUUUUAAAUGCGCGCAUUUAUAUAAUUAUUAAAUCAUGAAAGUAUUAUAACUCAUAAGUCAAGUGGGAGAAUGUAAGAAAUUAUGUAAAUAAUUUUUAUAAAGUGACUCACGAGCUUUGGGUCCGAAUAUGAUUUAAUAAUAAUAAUAGAAUAAAGGACCCAUUGGUUAACGUGAUAAAUAUAUAUAUAUAUAUGAUAUAUCUAAUUAAAACCAACAUCUGAUGGAGAUUGGGAACUAAAAACUAUCAGGUUCUAUCUCUGCAAAUAAUAGUUGUCUCAAUGUUAACCAUCAUGAAAGUGUGUGACAAGAACAUAAUUGCUAAGAGAUAGAUUGAGACAAAUGAGAUAAAACAAUUGUUUAAGUAGGAUCACUCAUGGAUCAAGGUAAGUACCUAUUCCUUCUUAAUUGUAUGGAUAUAUGUGAGAAUCAUGAUAUGAUAAGAUUGUAUGAGAACAUUAUUGUAUAUUGUAUAUGUUCUUAAUAAUGUUUAAUCGUGUUUUAACGUAUAUAUCAAGAAGCACUUUUCAAUAAUUGAUAAAUCCUCUGUAUAUUUUCAAUUAUUGGAGGGACUGUUUAUAUAAUUGAUGUACUAUGGAGAGACAGUAACAGUAACAGUUUGGGGGCACAGAAAAGGACAAAAUUUAAAAAUACUAGAUUUCCCAUUUGCUUCGGUAUAUGGUAGUAGAUUGAGUACCUAAUUCUCAACCCAAUACCCUCAUCUCUUUCUAAUGCCAAUACUUAGAUUUAAAACUCCAUUAAUCACUAAAAAACAAGUUAAAACGAAAUUGGGAAGAAAAAUAAAGACUUUGUAUUGAAAUUGAGGAAGUUGAGAAGGGAAAAUUUACCGGAGAAUCAUCACUGCCUGAUCUGAUAUGAAGAGAAGCUUGGGCAGUGGCAGUUUGGCUUUGAUAAUACUGAACAUCAGGGGGAAGCGUGCAAGGAAGAAGCUGAGAGUGAAGGCGAUUCUCAAGCCUCGAAACGAGAUCGACCAUGACAUUCUUCUGGGCAGAUGAAACGAAGGGAAAGUCGAUGAAUUUGGAGCGGCCAUGGUCAUGGGUCUGGUGGGUCCCUUCCAUGCGAGAGGAACAGAGAGAUGAAGAAGAAGAAGAAGAAGAAGAAGGAUUAAGCCUGAAAGAAGAAGAAGAAGAAGAAGAAGGUAGAGAGAGAUGGUAACGUGUUGAAGGAGAAAAAGAAGAUAAGAUGGAGAGUGGUGAACACCGGAAAUGGUCGCAGAUCAUCACUUCCAUCACUCUUAUUCCUCAACUCUGUUUUACUCUGUUCUACUCUGUUUUACUCUCUCCGUCACCUUUUUCAUUCCUUCACACCAUUUUGUUUUCUC